UACGUAGGGGGCGAGCGUUGUCCGGAAUCAUUGGGCGUAAAGCGCGUGUAGGCGGCUUGGUAAGUCCGGUGUGAAACCUUGGGGCUCAACCCCAAGCCUGCACUGGAUACUGCCUCGCUUGAGUCCGGGAGGGGAGAGCGGAAUUCCUGGUGUAGCGGUGAAAUGCGCAGAUAUCAGGAAGAACACCAAUGGCGAAGGCAGCUCUCUGGGACGGUACUGACGCUGAGACGCGAAAGCGUGGGGAGCGAACAGG
rnacentral:rRNA from 1 species